UGAAGACCUGUGGCUCUUACAGCAUUUCUGCUGGUACAGUCCCUCUGCAGGUUCUGAUUCUGCUAAGGAAGCCUCUGACUUGCCUUCUGGGGAGUGUUCAGGAACCAUUUUGAUGAAUUCCAAUUAAGAGUCUUCCUGACGCCAGGGGAUGCAGAGGUCAAAGAAUGCCCUGAGCAGCACAGUAACAGACCACAUAGAGCACAGAUAAAGAUGGCAAAGCAGCCUCGUAAGGAGUCUGUGUGACCUGCCCAAGAUCAACCAGAA